AGUGAACGCUGGCGGCGUGCUUAACACAUGCAAGUCGAACGAGAACGGAAUAUAGCUUGCUAUAUUUGUCAGCUAAGUGGCGCACGGGUGAGUAAUGUAUAGAUAACCUGCCCUUAAGAAAGGAAUAACAGUUGGAAACGACUGCUAAUGCCCUAUAUGCCUUUAAUACAUAAGUAUGCAAGGGAAACGCUUUAGUGCUUAAGGAUGGGUCUGUAUGGUAGCAGCUUGUUGGUGAGGUAAUGGCUCACCAAGGCUAUGACGCCUAACUGGUUUUAGAGGAUGAUCAGUCACACUGGAACUGAGACACGGUCCAGACUCCUACGGGAGGCAGCAGUGGGGAAUAUUGCAAAAUGGACGAAAGUCAGAUGCAGCAACGCCGCGUGGAGGAUGACACAUUUCGGUGCGUAAACUCCUUUUAUAUAGGAAGAUAAUGACGGUACUAUAUGAAUAAGCACCGGCUAACUCCGUGCCAGCCGCCGCAGUAA
rnacentral:rRNA from 1 species